rnacentral:tmRNA from 1 species
GCGGGCCGAGAUGGGAUAGGGUCGCUGCGAGGUUGAUGACCGGUUCGUAAUAACGCUUCAGGACCCGGGGGCGGUACCCGGCGCCUCCACCA